GACUGCUCAGGUGGCCUAGUGGUUAGAGCGUCCGCCUCGGAUGCGGGAGGUUGUGGGUUCAAUCAUCGGCCAAGUCA